rnacentral:pre_miRNA from 1 species
AUAUGAGUCAUCUGGGGAUUAUAUUAACAUGCAAAGUCUAAUUCAAUAGAUCAGAGAGCUGGUCCUGAAAUCCUACAAUUCUAACUAACUCCUAGAUGACAUGCAU